rnacentral:misc_RNA from 1 species
GAUGAAGAACGCAGCGAAAUGCGAUAAGUAAUGUGAAUUGCAGAAUUCAGUGAACCAUCGAAUCUUUGAACGCACAUUGCGCCCGGCAGUAAUCUGCCGGGCAUGCCUGUCCGAGCGUCAUUUCUCCCCUCGAGCGCAGCUUUCCCCCCCGGGGGAGGGCCGCGCCCGGUGUUGGGGCGCUACGGAGGAGCCCAGCGCUCCCCCGUAGGCCCCGAAAUGUAGUGGCGGUCCCGCCGCGGCGCCCCCUGCGUAGUAGUUUUACAACUCGCAUCGGGUCCCGGCGGAGGCCAGCCGUCAAACCCCCCAACUUCAAUAGUUUGACCUCGGAUCAGGUAGGGUUAACCGCUGAACUUAAGCAUAUCAAUAAGCGGAGGA